rnacentral:rRNA from 1 species
GGAGGGUGCAAGCGUUAUCCGGAUUCACUGGGUUUAAAGGGUGCGUAGGCGGGCAGGUAAGUCCGUGGUGAAAUCUCUGAGCUUAACUCAGAAACUGCCAUGGAUACUAUUUGUCUUGAAUAUUGUGGAGGUGAGCGGAAUAUGUCAUGUAGCGGUGAAAUGCUUAGAUAUGACAUAGAACACCAAUUGCGAAGGCAGCUCACUACACAGUUAUUGACGCUGAGGCACGAAAGCGUGGGGAUCAAACAGGAUUAGAUACCCUGGUAGUCCACGCCCUAAACGAUGAUUACUCGACAUCAGCGAUACACUGUUGGUGUCUGAGCGAAAGCAUUAAGUAAUCCACCUGGGAAGUACGAUCGCAAG